rnacentral:rRNA from 1 species
UGCUUAGGAAUCUGCCUAUUAGUGGGGGACAACAUUCCGAAAGGAAUGCUAAUACCGCAUACGCCCUACGGGGGAAAGCAGGGGAUCUUCGGACCUUGCGCUAAUAGAUGAGCCUAAGUCAGAUUAGCUAGUUGGUGGGGUAAAGGCCUACCAAGGCGACGAUCUGUAGCGGGUCUGAGAGGAUGAUCCGCCACACUGGGACUGAGACACGGCCCAGACUCCUACGGGAGGCAGCAGUGGGGAAUAUUGGACAAUGGGCGCAACCCUGAUCCAGCCAUGCCGCGUGUGUGAAGAAGGCCUUUUGGUUGUAAAGCACUUUAAGCGAGGAGGAGGCUACUGGUAUUAAUACUACCGGAUAGUGGACGUUACUCGCAGAAUAAGCACCGGCUAACUCUGUGCCAGCAGCCGCGGUAAUACAGAGGGUGCGAGCGUUAAUCGGAUUUACUGGGCGUAAAGCGUGCGUAGGCGGCUUUUUAAGUCGGAUGUGAAAUCCCUGAGCUUAACUUAGGAAUUGCAUUCGAUACUGGGAAGCUAGAGUAUGGGAGAGGAUGGUAGAAUUCCAGGUGUAGCGGUGAAAUGCGUANAGAUCUGGAGGAAUACCGAUGGCGAAGGCAGCCAUCUGGCCUAAUACUGACGCUGAGGUACGAAAGCAUGGGGAGCAAACAGGAUUAGAUACCCUGGUAGUCCAUGCCGUAAACGAUGUCUACUAGCCGUUGGGGCCUUUGAGGCUUUAGUGGCGCA